rnacentral:rRNA from 1 species
AGUUUCGAAUCAUUCACAAUGGGCGAAAGCCUGAUGGUGCGACGCCGCGUGAGGGAUGAAGGCCUUCGGGUUGUAAACCUCUGUCACCGGGGAAGAAACGUCAUGCAUUAAUAGUGCAUGGCCUGACUUAACCCGGAGAGGAAGCAGUGGCUAACUCUGUGCCAGCAGCCGCGGUAAUACAGAGACUGCAAGCGUUAUUCGGAUUCACUGGGCGUAAAGGGUGCGCAGGCGGCCAGGUGUGUUAGGUGUGAAAUCCCGGGGCUUAACUCCGGAACUGCGCCUAAAACUACUUGGCUAGAGUAUCGGAGAGGGUAGCGGAAUUCACGGUGUAGCAGUGAAAUGCGUAGAUAUCGUGAGGAACACCAGAGGCGAAGGCGGCUACCUGGACGAUUACUGACGCUCAGGCACGAAAGCGUGGGGAGCAAAAGGGAUUAGAUACCCCUGUAGUCCACGCCCUAAACGGUGCAUACUAGGUCUUGGCGGAUUCGAUCCCGUCAGGGUCCAAGCUAACGCGUUAAGUAUGCCGCCUGAGGACUACGGCCGCAAGGCUAAAACUCAAAGGAAUUGACGGGGGCCCGCACAAGCGGUGGAGUAUGUGGCUUAAUUCGAUGCAACGCGAAGAGCCUUACCUAGCCUUGACAUGCAUUAGACCGACGCUGAAAGGCGUCUUUCCUUCGGGACUGGUGCACAGGUGCUGCAUGGCUGUCGUCAGCUCGUGUCGUGAGAUGUUGCGUUAAGUCGCGCAACGAGCGCAACCCCUGUCCUUAGUUGCCAUCAUUAAGUUGGGCACUCUAGGGAGACAAACCCUCUCUGAGGGUGGGAAGGUGGGGAUGACGUCAAGUCAGGAUGGCCCUUACGGCUAGGGCUGCACACGUACUACAAUGCCUGAUACAGAGGGAUGCAAUAUCGCGAGGUGGAGCAAAUCCUAAAAAUCAGGCCCAGUUCGGAUUGUAGUCUGCAACUCGACUACAUGAAGUUGGAAUCGCUAGUAAUGGCGCAUCAGCUACGGCGCCGUGAAUACGUUCCCGGGCCUUGUACACACCGCCCGUCACAUCAUGAAAGCCGGUUUCGCCCGAAGUAUGUUUGCCAACCAGCAAUGGAGGCGGCGUCCUAAGGUGAGGCUGGUGAUUGGGAUGAAGUCGUAACAAGGUAACCGUA